UCAUUUAACUUGUUGUAGGUGCUCACAAAAUCUAUUGCAACCUGCUAUUGCUAUUGAAGGUUCAUGGCGACUUUCUCAUCUUUGGCGACUCUUUGGUCGUUUUCUUCAACGAGCCUCCAGCCAACAUGAGUUUUCCGACGAUUCACCACCUCGAACCAUUACCAUCUUAACCGCCUGAAGCUGAACACCACCCUUUACACCUUCACUUUCUCAGGAUGUUUUUUUUCAUCUUAACCACAUGAAUUUCCGGCGAAAUCUGGAACAAGUGAACUCAAAACAAAUCAGAUUUUUUCAGGUAAAAUGCAGGGAAAGAUAGUCGCAGAUGGUGACGUAUGGGAAGAUGGCAUUGGGUUGUGAUGAUGCUCGACUGUAACACGUGGUGGUGAUGGAGGAGUACUUCAAUGGAGCUUGUAGAUUCGUGGUUUUGAAAUCGCCGGAAAACUCAUGUUGGUUGGAGGCUCGUCGGAGAAGACGGCCGGAGAGUCGCCGGAGCUGAGAAAGCCGCUGGAAACCUUUAAUAGCAGGUUGCAAUGGUUUUUGUGAAUACCUACAACAAGUUAAAUGAUAAAUGAAGUAAAAAAACGACAAUGACCAAAUGCAAACAAAAUGAACAUUUGGUUACCCUCAUAAGUCAUUUACCCACGGUUAAUGUAUACACGUAAUGCUACUUAGGGUAAGGGUACAUGCCUUACACCCAAUGGAGUCUUUAUACUUAUGUUUAAUUUUCUUAACUCGUGUACACAAAAAAUGAGAUUCAAUAUUUUACAGCAAAUUUACAAAUCGUUUAAUAAAA